AUAAAAAGCCUUCACUGUGGAGUCAGUGAAUAUUAUAGAAGAACAGAUCUUCUAAUAUCUCUAGUUGAGAUAGUCACUGUUGAUAUUCUCUAGUUGAGAAUCACUUCUAGUUGGAGCAGUAUAUCAUCUACAAUCUCUAGUUGAGAUAGUCACUAUUGAUAUUCUCUAGUUAAGAAUCACUUCUAGUUGAAGCAGUAUAUUGUCUACAACCUCUAGUUGAGAUAGUCAGCUGUUGAUAUUCUCUAGUUAAGGAUGGAGCUUCUAGUUGAGGCAAAGUAUGUUUUUGAUGAUAGUUGAUGGUAAUGGUAAUACAGCAGAUUGGUGGAUUUUGCUUGUGUUUUUCUGUUUUUAUGGUUAUUGCUAUACAGGCAUCUAUUUCUAAUAGAGAAAUCAGGGUCCAAAUUUUGUAAUUAAUUAUUAUUGUGUUUUUGAAGAAUUUGAGCGAAGGGGGGGCUCUGCUGCCCUUUGUGGCCACACUGUAGCAAGGGGGGGUGUUAGGCAUUACUACAGCUACCCCAGGCACGUGCCACCUAACAUAUUGUGUUGCUCUCGCUU
rnacentral:sRNA from 2 species